GUUGCGAGACGUAGCUUUCUGCAUUGUUUACUUUUUGUUUGGUUGUGUCGUUAUGGUUUCAUAUCAACUCGCUGAGGAAAACAACUGAAGAAAGAAAUAAGCAAAUAUAUAUUCGUGAAAAAUAGUGUACUAGAGCUGCAAUAAGAUGCCGUAUUAUUGUGCAGUAAAAGGAUGCGGAAACAAGGUCCGCAUAACGAAAAACAACCCGGACAUUGUUUACCACACUUUCCCCCGAGAUGGAGAUAGACUUCAUAAAUGGAUACUUUUCUGUGGCCAAUCGAAGGAUUGGAAGCCUCAGAAAAAUCAAGCUACUACGUCCACGCAACAAUCAUCGUUUGUCGGUAAUCCCAGUCCCUUUCCGCUCACAUUACGGUCUGCUGCAUCGGUAAUUGGCGCUAUCUAUAACACAACAAUGGAAGCCUCAUAUCAACAGUCCCGCUGUGUAUAUAGUCCAUCUAUGAACAUUCGAACAAUAGGAAUAUUCUUACGCCGAAAAAGGAGACAUGUGUUAUGUAUCGAUAGAAUAGGAAUACUAUUAGGCCUAAAAUGGCUACUGUGUAAUAUACAACAUGAGGAAAAAUGUACACAAUAAAUUCGGCUCUGUUACAGCUGAAUUGAACCUAAUAAAAAAUAAACAGAUGGGAUAAAAAAAAAAUGGUGCUUAUCAACACGACGCAAGUAACGGGACGCUUGGACGGUAAAGUUUCUCUAUAAAUGUCAGGACCAUCGAAUAAAAAGAAGAUUCAUCUGCAGUAGGGUAAAUGAUCUUGGUUUGUCCAGUCGAAAAUAUGAUCAUGGUUUGCCCACUUUUUUGAAUGCUCUAAUUCAGCGCUCCUGUGUCAAAUAAGGCCUUCGAAUGUUUCGAAACAUAUAAAUGAAAUUGCCUUUUACAUGAUUUAUAGUAGUUUGAUAGUAUAUUUUUACCAAAUCACAUGUUUUAAAGGAUUAUAAAAUACACCUUCUAUUUCUGUCAAUGCGCCCCUCAUUCGAGCUAACUUUUAAUCGAUCACCAGAUGAUUAUUUGGCACGUAUUCAGACCUUUUCUGGAUUACAACACUUAUAAAUAUUGUAAACAUCAUGCUUGCUCACCAUUUGUACAUAACGAAACCAUUAAAUUAACGCAUUUUGAUGAACUCAAUUCUGAUCAUGAGUUGUCCAAUUCAAUAAUGUUGUUUUGUCCACAUGAUUUCUAUGGCAACCGCUUGGCGCGCUGCAGUUUGUUUAUGUUUGUUUAUGGUGUGCUUCGCGCAUAGCAGAAGUAUGGUUUUUCUGUGUUGAUUGUGUUGAGGUGAACACUUCUAAAAUGCCCAAGAAAAGGCAAUAUUCUGAAGAAAGCCUAAAUUAUGAAUGAAUCAAUAUGAUGACAGUAAACUCAAGCAAUGAUGAAUGCAACAUCUAAUUGUGAAUUCGAAUGUUUUCAUUCAAAAAUGGAGAUUUCUAAAACCGGACAAACCAUGAUCAUUUUUUUGGGCAAACCAUGAUCAGAGGUGGUCAAACCAUGAUCAUAAUUCUUCUUUAAGGAAAAUCGUUAAAAAACAUAAAAAUUUCAAUAAUUUCAACACCUUAUGGUAGUACAGUAAACAUUCACUAACUGGGCGAAAAGGGAAGACCACUUAUCGACAUUCGCGUUUUAACUGGUCCGGCAUGUUAAACGUCAAAUAAAAUCGAGGGAAACUUCAAUGAAUUGUUUGAUUCGCAUUGUUCCUGUAAUUGGAUAAACAAAAGGAUUCCAAUGGAAGUUUCGCAUUGAGUGCGACAACAGGUAUGACAUAUGAUUUGAGAAAAUUAUUUUUCUGUAGUUUAAUCAAUGUUUUUGUCGUGCGAAAAUAAUGUCAACUUUCAUAACAUUUAAAAUUACAUUCGAAUGCCCCUCACAGCAAAUCUUCCAUUUGAAUAUGGCGUCGAUUGUUUACGAAAUUGUGCUUUUUAACUGGUCCAAGGACCAGUUAGCGUUCGCCCAGUUAAACAGCAGACCAGUUAGCGAACGAUUACUGUAUUAGCAACUAGAGACUUGGGGCUUUUCAACAAACCCAAACUCGUAUCGAUUAUGUGUGAUUUUCAUGAAGAAAAAUCGAUUUGCAUUUACUAGUUGCGUAAAAACACCCCAAAUUGGACAAACCAAGAUCAUUUACUCUAUACUUGGAUUGAGUUUAAUUCUCAGAUAAGCGAAUAUUUUGCUGCCCACAAGAGACCCCUUCCUGUGUUUUUUUUUCCUUCAAAAUGAUGCAAAACAGUAACACUUUCAUUAGUUUUUAUUACGUGAUGUGAUAUGCUAAGCAAAAUUAACCCUAAUAAUCAAAUAGUUGGCGAGACAAUUCAAACAAUGAAUCGUUUCAAUCCAAAACGCCGAAGGUAUAUAGCGCUUCAUCUAUAUUUCAGUCUACUUUUGAAGCCGACGUAAAUUAGUGUAUCCCUUAAUGAAUCCGAAUUUAGAACGAAAAAGAAUAUUCAAGCAAAGUCAUAACUGAAAAGCGAAUAUUUUUUGAAUGGCACUCUGUGUCUCAAAUAUUUAUUGUCAUUUCGCAUCAGCCUGUGCGAGUGUUUGUUUUUUUUUGUUGUUAGUUUGUAUAGUUUUCGGCUGGAGCAAAACAUUUUUUUCCGGCGCUAAUCCAAGAUGAGUGUGACAAAAAAGAUAUAUGAGAAUAAAUUGCUUCCAAGGCGUGAUUCCACAUUUGUAUAUUAUUUGCUGCUGCUGCCUAGUUCAGCCAAAGCAAUAUAUAAACCUUCCCUAGCUUAUUACCACUAUUUACAAAUAAUUGCACCGUUCGAUUAAUUGAUUUCUGACAAACAGACAGACGUUAACUACAGGAAAAUACCCAAAAACAUGAACGUCACUCUCCCCAAGUUUUUCACAUGACUUCGUCCUCUCAAGAAAUGCGCACAGAUUCAACAGAUUUGAAGCUAACGAUUACUACCUUUCCCCGGACUGAUCCCGCAGAUGGAUAAGCUCCCGCAGGCCAUGCUUGAUGUGGUCGUACGUGGCAAAACUGAUCCCCACGGCUAUCGGACCCUUGAUCCAGUUCAUGCUGAGACCUUUGUAAAAGCCCCGGAUUAUACCUUCCUCCCUUUGAAGAUACAAAUAAAAAAAAACAUUAAAAUGCAAUUAUGCAAUGUGGACAUGGAUGUUUUGCCUGGAUCGGAACCAACCUGUAAAUUUUCAUCAGCAUGCUGCCAAUCGUGAGAUACCGAUCGACGCAGUGCACCGUCACGCCGGUGGUUUGCAGCCGCCGCCUCACGAUGUCCAACGGGUAGCUCGACGAUUGGCCAAUAACGCCGGCCGCGGCGCCGAACACAAGCGAUACCAAAGUGUUCGGGCUGUAAUCUCCGGUGCGCUCUGGAAGAAAAAAGGUGGGUAUGAGGGCAGGACAAAACAGACCAGAUUUUUCAAUAAAAUCUGAGUAUAUAAGCAUUCAACCAUUCCAUAUCAAACCCGUGGUUCUCAGAUUUUCGUUAACAUUGUUAUCUUUAUUCCUCCUCAUCGCAAAAUAUACGACCUGUAUUUUUUUUAUUUUUUCAUUUUAGAAUAGCCCGGAAAAUCAAUUCAUUCCUUUUUUACUAUAUUCAGUUGGUCUUCUUUGAAAAAAUAUAACACUUGCAAAAAAAAAUUGAUUUUGUUUUCGUAACUGUUAAUUAGAGAUAGAGGGCGUCAUAUGUUUUGUAUUUUCUCUUGAAAGCUCAGGCCUUUUCACACAGCAUUUGAAAAAAAUCAAAGCCUUUUUUUGUUUCUGUGCCAUGAUUUUUCAAAGUUAACAUGUUUUCAGUCUUCGUUCAAUAUUUUUAAACGACUAAACUACCAUGCACCUACAUUGAUUCAUAGCGAUUUAUAGCGUCAUCAGAGAAGAGAAGUGGAACAUAAGAGAAAAAAAGUGGCAACGAUUUGUGGCAAGAAAAUUUAAACAGUGAAAAAAUUGACAGAUGAUUUACGCUCUAAAAAUUGAACAUAAUGUUAAGAUGUCUUUAAAACAGUGGGAGAAGUCAUAUAUAAGGUGGGAAGUUCGAAUAUAAUGUUAUUAAUGUUGGCAUCAUCAUGAUAAACGCGGCGAAUGGGAUAGAAAUUACGAACUGAAAAUUGAAUAAAAUAUAUAUAAAGACGUGAAAGUGCUGUGGACAAAUAUUAUAAUCCAUUUUUAUCGGUUUAUGUAUAAUGUCGUUAAUAUUUGCAUUAUCAGAAUAAACCCAUAUGUAUUGUAAUCAUAACUUGCUGUGCUAUUCAUAACAACCUUUAUGAUCGUAUUCCACCAAUAAUGACAAAUGUGUAAUUUACGAAUGAAGCUUCGCCAUAGAAACUGGACAUUGAAUAAACAAAAUUAAAAUGUGGCAAGAGCAUCAGUUGAAAUAUUUUAAAGCAUUCUCAUCGAAAUAAAUUGAAUGAUACAAUAAUUCUACGACUAGGUAACGUAUGUACGCUUAAAAAACAACAUAAAAUAUGAUUUCUGAAUAAAUUUCAUUUUUUUUCAGUUUCGAACAAACCCCGUAAAAAGCCAUUUUUAUUUUUUUAAAUACCAUAUGUUGGUAUUGUAUCUAAAAUUCACAAGGUAAUGAAACGUUAACAUCAAUUAGUUUCUAGUAAUCAUCUUUUUAGUUGCCAGGGAAAUUAACACCAAACUAAAUUUAUUUAGUGUUAUAUAUAUAUGCCAUGCCAAACCGAUAUAGGGGUUCUCAGAUUUUCGUGUAAAUUGGUAGUUUUGUUCCUUAUCGCAAAAUAUUAGAUCCCAUUCCAUUUUAGUUCGGUUCGAAAAAUCUAGUUUUUCCCCUUUUUUCCAAAAAUAACUUUUUUUUUGAAUUCAUAUCUUUUGAACUACUAUACCGAUUCAGAUGAUCGACAUAUCAAAUUGGCCAGUAAGCUAGUCUUUCUUUGAGAAAAUUCUACACUUGCGAGGAAAUAUUUUUGUUUUCUUAAUUAUUGAUCGUAUUUGUUCUUUAUAGUUCUCAUUGUUCAAGGGCGCUUUAUUUUUUUAUAUUUUUUCUCGAAAUCUGAGGAUUUUUUAGAUAACAUAUUCAAAAAUGUGUUCUUCGUUUUUAAAUUAUGAUUUUUCAAAUUUA